CAGGUAUACUGGGUGGCCGCCGCCCCGUCCUUCGGUGGAAGGAUCGGGGGGGAGGAAAGUCCGGGCUCCACUGGGCAGGGUGCUGGGUAACUCCCAGGCUUCUAAGGCGGCAGCGAUGCCGCCUAAGGGGACGGAUAGUGGCACAGAAACAUACCGUCCUUCCUUCACUGGAAGGAUAAGGGUGAAAUCGGACGGUAAGAGCGUCCGGCCGACUGCGGUGACGCAGCGGCGGCUAAACCCCACCUGGAGCAAGGCCGAAUAGGGGGACUAUGGGCGCCCGGCCCGUCCCCGGGUUGGCUGCUUGACCCCGAUGGCAACAUCGUCCCGUUCGCGGGAGCCCGGCGGCAUCAAAUGCCAUCGGGAGGGCUAGAUAGAUGACCACCGCCCCGCAAGGGGUUACAAAACCCGGCUUACAGGUCUACCUGACCC
rnacentral:RNase_P_RNA from 2 species